UACAGAGGUCUCAAGCGUUGUUCGGAUUCAUUGGGCGUAAAGGGUGCGUAGGCGGCGCGGUAAGUCGGGUGUGAAAUCUCGGGGCUUAACUCCGAAACUGCAUUCGAUACUGCCGUGCUUGAGGACUGGAGAGGAGACUGGAAUUUACGGUGUAGCGGUGAAAUGCGUAGAUAUCGUAAGGAAGACCAGUGGCGAAGGCGGGUCUCUGGGCAGGUACCGACGCUGAGACGCGAAAGCGUGGGAAGCAAACAGG
rnacentral:rRNA from 1 species